rnacentral:rRNA from 1 species
UACAGAGGGUGCGAGCGUUGUCCGGAAUUACUGGGCGUAAAGGGCGCGUAGGCGGCCUGAUAAGUAGGGGGUGAAAUUCCGUGGCUCAACCACGGAACUGCCUUCUAAACUGCCAGGCUUGAGCACGGUAGAGGCAGAUGGAAUUCCCGGUGUAGCGGUGGAAUGCGUAGAGAUCGGGAAGAACACCAGUGGCGAAGGCGGUCUGCUGGGCCGUUGCUGACGCUGAUGCGCGACAGCGUGGGGAGCAAACAGG